rnacentral:rRNA from 1 species
GACGAACGCUGGCGGCGUGCCUAACACAUGCAAGUCGAACGGAACUGUUUUGAAAGAUUUCUUCGGAAUGAAUUUGAUUUAGUUUAGUGGCGGACGGGUGAGUAACGCGUGAGUAACCUGCCUUCAAGAGGGGGAUAACAUUCUGAAAAGAAUGCUAAUACCGCAUGACAUAUCGGAACCACAUGGUUUUGAUAUCAAAGAUUUUAUCGCUUGAAGAUGGACUCGCGUCCGAUUAGUUAGUUGGUGAGGUAACGGCUCACCAAGACUGCGAUCGGUAGCCGGACUGAGAGGUUGAACGGCCACAUUGGGACUGAGACACGGCCCAGACUCCUACGGGAGGCAGCAGUGGGGGAUAUUGCGCAAUGGGGGCAACCCUGACGCAGCAACGCCGCGUGAAGGAUGAAGGUUUUCGGAUUGUAAACUUCUUUUAUUAAGGACGAAAAAUGACG